GAUGAACGCUGGCGGCGUGCCUAAUACAUGCAAGUCGAGCGGACAGACGAGGAGCUUGCUCCUCUGACGUUAGCGGCGGACGGGUGAGUAACACGUGGAUAACCUACCUAUAAGACUGGGAUAACUUCGGGAAACCGGAGCUAAUACCGGAUAAUAUAUUGAACCGCAUGGUUCAAUAGUGAAAGACGGUUUUGCUGUCACUUAUAGAUGGAUCCGCGCCGCAUUAGCUAGUUGGUAAGGUAACGGCUUACCAAGGCAACGAUGCGUAGCCGACCUGAGAGGGUGAUCGGCCACACUGGAACUGAGACACGGUCCAGACUCCUACGGGAGGCAGCAGUAGGGAAUCUUCCGCAAUGGGCGAAAGCCUGACGGAGCAACGCCGCGUGAGUGAUGAAGGUCUUCGGAUCGUAAAACUCUGUUAUUAGGGAAGAACAAAUGUGUAAGUAACUAUGCACGUCUUGACGGAACCUAAUCAGAAAGCCACGGCUAACUACGUG
rnacentral:rRNA from 1 species